rnacentral:rRNA from 1 species
GGCAGCGAAACCGUAAGGUCAAGCGAAUCUCAAAAAGCCGGUCCCAGUUCGGAUUGUGGGCUGCAACCCGCCCACAUGAAGUUGGAGUUGCUAGUAAUCGCGAAUCAGCAUGUCGCGGUGAAUGCGUUCCCGGGCCUUGUACACACCGCCCGUCACACCACGGAAGUUGGGGGCGCCCGAAGCCAGUGGCCUAACCGCAAGGAGGGAGCUGUCGAAGGCGAAACCAAUGACUGGGGUGAAGUCGUAACAAGGUAUC